AUUUAAAUAGCUUAUAAAGUAGAGUAUAAUAUUGAAGAUAUUGAGGAGAUUAUUUAAUCUUUAAAUA
rnacentral:tRNA from 1 species